rnacentral:lncRNA from 7 species
AACACAGCUGGUGAAGGAUGAACCAAGUCUAAGAAGGAGGCACUUCGUGAGUGGCUAUGUUCUUCUGAACUCACGGGGAAUCUGAAAUAACUUCUUGGCUGCCCUCCUUCAACCUGUUCGCUUGACUUCACACAGGAGCGACUCUGUUCCCCUUAGGAUGUCUCCGCAGUGCUUGGCACCACUAUGUCCUCUCCACUACUGCUGCCUCAGUUCCUUGGGACAUGGCAAUGUGUUCCCCUUCUAAUGGUGCUAACAGGAGCCAUGGUCUGCCCUCAUCUCCACUUCUCAGCUGGUAUUCACCACAACCCUUUAAUGCAUCACUGCUAAUAAUGUUUGUUUUGGAAAAGAUGAACAGCAAGCAGCACCUUGCAACUCAUUCUUUCUCCCUACAGUAACCAACUGCAGAAAUUCCAGGGAAGGCUACAGGAUUUUGGAUUUUAUCUUCCCAACACCAUAAUGUGAAAGUGCACCAACAAACUUUUGCAACCUGCCUUCCUUCAGCCGAGGUGUUCUGAGAUCCCUUUUCUCUUCCCUGGGUUUCUGCAGACCUGCCCACUGUCAGGCAGGCAGACAGAUGCAGGGCCAGCAGGACCAGCUGUGUAGCCAACAGGCUGUUGCGCCCCAGGGAUCUCUCUUCUGCGGGCAGGGAAAUGCUGGACCAGGCCCGUGUUCUUACCAGAGUGAGUUCACUGCUGUUGAGAAUUUCAUAACAGGCCCUUGGUUCUAAAAGCUUAACCUUUAGGGAGCCCUGAAAAUGUUCCCAAGGACUUCAGUGAGAAUCAGUUUAGACUCUAAAUCAUAAAUUGUUCAGUGUUUUCCCCAGUGUUUCACAAAGUCUCAGCUAGUAUUAUCUAGUUGUUGUUUUCUUCUUUUUAAUACAUUUAAUAAUUUCUUCCUUCUGUAUGCUUGAAAUGUAGGUAAGAGAAUGGUAGGCUGAGGGGAGGCACUGUGACCCUUUCCUCCACAUGUAUGCAAUUAUCUUUUAAUGCUUUGCUUAUCGCCUGGUAUUAGGAUAAUGGAAAUUACAUUUCUACAUCCAGCCUCACUGGCAGCAAAGUCCUGCCCACUGCCAGGUCUGCCAUCCAGAUGUGCAGGUCUCAGCCUCCCUUGGUGUUUCCAUUCAAGGCCACAUCCUGUGGCACACUGAUAGCAGGUAGCCCUGUGCCGUGCAUCAGUUUCCCUCAGCUCGCUGAUGGAUCUCCGUGGUCACUGCAUUUCCUGUUUGAUUACCCUUUAUGCCUCAUAAACAGCAGCAUUACCAAGCACUUAUGAAAGCAGACGUAUCUAUUGUGUUUAAUCUUUACUGUGUUUAAAACCUCAGUAGCCUCCUGUAAAGCCCUGGUGGUGAAGCUGUCUGUUAGCAUGCUGAUGUAGCUGCCAGCAUUACACGGAGAAUUGGCUGGACAACAGGAAGCUCAGUGCUGUAGUGAAAUAGGAGCAAAGAAAUUCCUGUCGACAGAACACACCAAUACUGUGCAUUAGCAAUCAGAAAAUGCUGCUCCUGUGAUGCUUUCUGUUUGGUGUUUAUGCGGAUGGGUGCCUCUCUAGGUUGGAGGAGAGAAGGUGGCAGUGGCAGAGAUACAUAAUGCAGAUUUGUGAGGUUGCUAAACCUCUGUCUUUCCCUGAGUGAAUUUACAGUGGCUCUACCUGUAAGUCAUUGUGUGCUGAAAAUACCUUUCACAAGUUCUGAGGCCAUGUGUCCUAGUACAAGAUUCAUGU